rnacentral:rRNA from 1 species
UACGAAGGGGGCUAGCGUUGUUCGGAAUUACUGGGCGUAAAGCGUGCGCAGGCGGCUUCUCAAGUCAGGGGUGAAAGCCCAGAGCUCAACUCUGGAAUUGCCUUUGAGACUGAGUGGCUUGAGUACGAGAGAGGUGAGUGGAAUUCCCAGUGUAGAGGUGAAAUUCGUAGAUAUUGGGAAGAACACCCGUGGCGAAGGCGGCUCUCUGGGACGGUACUGACGCUGAGACGCGAAAGCGUGGGGAUCAAACAGG